GCCUUCGUGGUGUAACGGUAGCACACUCAACACAUAUUCGAGAGGUCUAGGUUCGAGUCCUGGCGAGGGCA